rnacentral:rRNA from 1 species
AUGGGCGCGGCGGCGGCGAUGGUGCUGGUGCUGGCCGUGCUUCCGGCGGCGGUGUCGGGGCAGGCGGGGGUGGCGACGUCGUGCACGGCGUCGCUGAUCAGCACCUUCACGCCGUGCCUCAACUUCGUGACGGGGAGCACCAACGGCGGGGGCUCGCCGACGCAGCAGUGCUGCAGGGCGGUGGCCGGGGUGGUCCGCACGGGCGCCGAUUGCGCCUGCCUCAUCCUCACCGGCAACGUGCCCUUCGGCCUCCCCAUCAACCGCACCCUCGCCAUCUCCCUCCCCAGGGUCUGCAAGUCGCUGUCCGUCCCGCUCGUCUGCAGAGAUACAGCGACGCAAAUCCCAGCUCCAGGGCCCAUUGCAUUUGCCCCGGCGCUGCCUCCUCUGCCAGCGUUGCCACCGGAGUCGUCGGUGGAUGAGACGGCGACGUCGCCGGCGGUGGAAGCGCCGCCGGUCAUGCAGGGGCAGAGGCCGGUGGUGGUGCCCAGCUCGGCGUGGAGGGGCGCCGGUGCUCCCUCCGUUCUGCUGCUUGCAGUCGCAUCCAUUUUGGCUCUGAUUUCUUAG